rnacentral:lncRNA from 1 species
UUGCUUUGAAGCAACACAAACAUACAAACAUAUAUACAAUAUUUAAUGAAAUAUUAUCUAUAUUACAUUCUGUCACACCCUAGGUCGACGGCGGAAACGCCGAGGUGCGCGACGUAACCAGUAAUCACAGUUAUUGAACAUACAUUGAACAUCACAAAUUUAAUCUUUUAUUAUUACCGAAAUGGAAAUUACAUUGACAGUAGUUAUUGUUGAAACGCUACACACGCCUAAUAAUCCGGCGUUCACAUUUGUAUGAUAAGAAUAUCGGAGAAUCUUCUGUACAAACUCUUCUGACCUUAUAAAUAACCUGAGAAUACAUGCAUUAAGAUACGUCAACAAAAUUGUUGGUGAGUUCUACAGGUUUUGACACAAAGUAUUUUUACACUAAAAAAUGUUUUAUAAAAUUUAAUCUAGUUAGCCGACAUUUAUAAACACGUACUUUUCUAUCGAAAGUAUAACAUAAUUGAGUCAUAAAAGUAUAUAUAAACUUAUUUAGAAAUGUCAUUUGCUCAAAUUCAAAAAUGCACCAUUUGUAAAAUAUAUAUAAGUAAACCAAACUUAUAACAAAUUCUUACGGUUCUCAUGACCGAAAUGCUCUUUAUAUAAAGAUUUUGAAAACCAAUUUAUAUAAAUAAAGUCAUAUCACACUUUGUGUAAACAUAAAAUAGCCGAGUUUACUCUUAAAACUUUGUACAAACGUUCGUAUAGUUUAUAUGUAAAACUCAAAAUUUUGAAUUUUAUAAACUUUGUAAAUCCGUGUCAUAUUAUUAAUUAAGCAUUAUCUUACUUAAUUUGGAAAUCAACACUUAACCAGUGGGGCAAACUCAUCCCAAAAUACUUUUCAAUAACCGGUAAAUUAUAAAUGCAUAUUUUUACCACUCGUAUAAUUUCAACGACAAAUAUUAACCAUUAUCUUUACAAUUCUAUUCUUUCAAACGUCUCUGCUUACGGAGAAUUGUGUCGUAGGGAGAGGUAGUUAAAUACCUAAACACUCUUACACACUCGGCCCAAAUUGGGAGGAUUGACUCAAUCUAGAUCUAUACUUCUUCGAAUAAAAUCUUCAAUAUAUCAAUUUGUCUAUAACCGACACUAUUCGUCGCUCCGCCACAAGCCAAAAAGGCACAAUAAACAAGCCACACAGACACAAUAUAAAUAUAAAUGGAGGAAUCGAGAUCAGUACUAAUGUUUAAAAACAGUCGUACAAUAACGAAGAAAGAAACACUUGACGCCUGUUGCCUCGUUAGACGAAGUUGUAGCUAGCAACCACAGACAGAAAAUAACCAUUCGCAUAAAUUUUUCCAUAAGAAAUAGAUCUACACCAAGGUUCUUUAUUAUAAAUCUAUGCCGUGUACAUAGACCUAUAGUAUAUGAUUCCUCCUGGAUUAACGGUUAUAGAGCUAGGUGUCGAUUCCAGGAUUUGAUCCCUACAAAGGAAAAAUACACCAUCAUAAAACUCUCUCUUUCACCCCUUUCGAUACAUUCCUCCCACAAACACACACGGGAUACACAAUCCACAAAAUCCAUGACGAUAAUUCUUCAACGCAUAAAAUUCGUCGUUCACUAGGGUCACUAACGCAAAUCUUAGAUUAUUAAGAUUUUCGAAGCUUAGUGAAAUUAGUUAAAUAGUGAAAUUAACGUAGUGUUCGACUAUUGUGGCGAUAAUAAUUUGAGUAGUUCCUUACUUCAGCCGAUAAGGAGGAUGUUCGUUCGCGUAGCCGAAUACUCACUUAUGUCGAUGUUCGAUAAGUUGCAUAAUUAAUAUGAUAUAUAAUUUAAUAGGUAAUAAUCCCCAAAAAUCCAAGAAUUAAUUAUAUUAUCAUAUGUGAUGAGCUUUGUAUCACAACUAAAUGAUUUAUAUUUUUAUAAUAAUUAUAAAGAUAAAUUAUAUCGUUUACCUAUUAAUUGUCUCCACAUUAUGAUCGGGAGUAUGAUCAUAAUAAUUUAUUUUUGGUAUAGUUUCUGUUAUGAAUUAUUAUUUAGUGAAUGACUAUUGGAUUCUCCAUAUUCCCUCAUUACUCUCCAUAAUUAGUGAGCAUUAUAGCAAACAUUAUUAUGAGUUUUAUGAGUGUAGUUAUGCACCACCAUAAUGUGCAUUCAUAUCAUACAUGACCUUUCAUCUUCUUUGUCUAGUAUAAAUAGUGAAUAUUAUGUAUAUAAAGUUUGAUGAUUUCAUCACAAAUAUUGGAAUAAAAGUUCCUUUUAUUCUCAUGUCUUUGUUUAUCUAUAAUGUAUCUUGUUAUUUGAUCAUAUUUUAUAACACGUUAUCAACACGAUUCUACCAUAGAGAGCUUUUAUUAUUUUCUGGUAUGUAUUUUUUAUAAGUUUACAUGUACAAUGCUUACAACUUAUUUUAUGGAAUUUUUGAACUAACAAUUCAUUAACAUACAAGUCUUUAUUUGAUUAUUAUUUUUAUUAUGGAAGACCAUGCUAGAGAAAACAUUCUCUACUUUUCAUGCUACUAACAUGCUCCUGUAGUAGCAAUAUCAUGAGAAAGGUUUAAAAUAAAUAUGAAUUAAUCUCAUGUCUUCUUGUGGCUAAACAAAACAAUGAGUUAUUGAUGAAAAAUCACCAAUCAAUCCCGACCAGUUCUAGUGCAUUCCCUGAAGUGAAUGCAAUAUCAUAUAAUCAUAAUAGUCAUGGGUAUAAUCGAGGUCGUGGAGGUUAUUAUCAUAAAAAUAACAAGAUUACAAGUAACCACCAGAAGUUGGAAAAUAACAAAAAUCCACAUCCUAAUGAUAAAAGUGGUCAAGGCAAAAAAAAAAGUUGAAAAUGUUUGUCACUAAUGUGGAAUGAUCGAUCAUUGGUCUUGUACAUGCCGCUUACCAAAACAUUUUGUUGAUCUUUAUCAAGAUUCUCUAAAAUAUAAAUGUUGCGAAUUAUCUUGUCUACCAGAAGGAACAAGUGGUGCUAUUGAUGGUGAUGAAAAAAUAAUAUAUAAUAGUUUGGUUUUAUGACAUUUAUUAUGUUUUUAUGUCAUAUUCAUUUCAUGAGAAAUGAUGUCAUCACAAUCUUCCCAAAUUAAUAAAAUAUGACUUUAUUUCUCUAAGUCGAAUGUUUCUUGUGUUUUAUUUAUUUAUUGAAAAGAAAUAUGGAUAUUCGCAACAGAAAUAAGGAAGAUAUAUUUCUUACAGACAAUGCAAUAACACAUAAUAUUUUUAAUAAUGAAAAGUAUUUUGCUUACUUAUCAAUUAGAGAAGCAAACGUUAAUAUAAUAAUAUGUAAUGCAAAAAUGAUUGAAGGCUCCGAAAGAGCGAAUAUAAUAUUACAACAAGGGAAAAUAAUUACAAUUGAUGAUGCAUUAUUUUCAUUAAAAUCACCAAGAAAUUUAUUAAGUUUUAAGGAUAUUCGGUCUAACGGAUAUCAUAUUGAAACAACUAAUGAUGGUAAUACAAAUUAUCUCAACAUUACAAAAAUGAUAUCGGGUAAGAAAAGUUUUUUGGAAAAAUUAUAUGUAUUGUCCUCUGGAUUGUACUAUACAAAUAUUACAAUGAUUCAUGCUAUUGGAAAUAAAAAGGUAUGAUAAUACCUUCAAAGUUUGACAUGACCGAUUGGGCCAUCCCGGAUAAAUUACUAUGCGCAAAAAAUUGAAACUUCAAGUGAUCAAUCCUUGAAAAACCAGAAGAUUUUUCAAGCUAAUGAAUUCUCUUGUGCUACAUGCUCUUAAGGAAAAUUAAUUUCUCAUCCAUCAUUGAACAAAGUUGGGUAUGAAAGUCAUAGUUUUAAGAAAGAUUUCAAAGGGAUAUAUGUAGACCAAUUCAACCACCAUGUGGACCAUUUAGAUAUUUUAUGGUUUUAAUUGAUGAGUCAACUAGAUGGUCACAUGUGUGCUUGUUGUCUAGUUGUAAUUUGGUUUUUGCAAGAUUACUUUCAUAAAUAAUCAGCCUAAGGGCACAUUUUCCCGAUUACCCAAUUAUGAAAAUUCGACUUGAUAAUGUUGGAGAAUUUACAUCAUAAGCUUUUAAUGAUUAUUGCAUGUUGAUUUAGAUAACUAUUGAACAUCAUGUUGUAUAUGUUUAUACACAAAAUGGUUUAGCUGAGUCGUUAAUCAAACACAUUUAAUUAAUUGCAAGACCAUUACUAAUGCAUUCUAAACUUCCUACAUUGACAUGGAGCAUGCAAUUUUAUAUGCAACAUCACUUAUACACAUCAAGCCAACCAGUUAUCAUUAGUUAUCCUCUAUUCAAAUGGUUUGCGGCCAGGAACCAAAUAUUUCCAUCUAAGGACGUUUAGAUGUGCAAUUAAUGUACUCAUUUCUCUACCUCAAAGAAGAAUGAGAAUUUAUGUUGGAUAUGAAUCUCCAUCUAUAGUAAAAUAUUUAAAAUCAUCAACCGGAGAUUUAUUUAUAGCUAUAUUUGAUGAUUAUUAUUUUGAUGAAUCAUAUUUUCCAACAUUAGGGGAAGAAAUAAAGAAGUUGGAAAAUGAAAUCUCAUGUACUAGCUAUAAUGAUCCAGUUAGAAUUGAUAUCCCAGAAGGAAAAAUACAACUACAAAUGAAUCUAAGCCACGCCUGAAGCGUGAAAGAACAACCUGUUCUAAAGAUAAAAAUCCUUGAAAAGGAAUGGGAAAAAAUAUAAUUGAUGGUCAAAAAGAGAAAACAAUAUCUCUUGAAAAGAUUAAUGAAGCUCUAGAAGAGCCAAUGACAUAACAAAAGAAUAUAAGGUACCUGAAAAAAAUGAAAAUGAUGAGAUCUCAAUAAAUUAUGUCAUGACAGAAAUAAGACGGAACCAACAUAAGACAGAAGUCGACGAUAAUUUUUCAUAUCAUGUUCCGCAUGUGAUUAUAAAGAAAAUGAGGAUCUUGAACCUAAAUCUAUUGAGAAAUGUAUGAAUAGAAAAUAUUGGCCAAAAUGGAAAGAUGAAAUAAAUAAAGAGCUUAAUUCUCUUACUCAACGAAAAGUUAUUGGACCUGUAAUCCGUACACCAAACAGAGUAAGAACAGUGGGACACGAAUGGGUAUAUGUGCGCAAAAGAAAUGAGAAAAAUGAAGUUGUGAGAUAUAAAACAAUACUUGUUGCACAAGGUUUUACCCAAAGGCCCGACAUUGAUUAUGAAGAAAAGUAUUCUCCGAUAGUUGAUACAAUUACAUUCAGUUAUUUUAUAAGUAUAAUAAUAUAUGCAAAACUGGAGAUGUGUCUAAUGGAUAUAUUUACCGCCUAUUUAUAUGGUUCACUUCAAAAUGAUUAUUAUAUGAAAAUCCCAGAAGGGUUUAAGGUGCCAGAAACACAAACUUCUAAUUCUCAUGAAGUAUAUUUGGUAAAAUUAAAUAAAUCUUUGUAUAGAUUGAAACAAUCUGGUCGUAUAUGCUUCAAUUGUUUUAGUACAUUUAUGUUGAAAGAGUGCUAUAAAAAUGAUCCAUUAAGCCCAUGUGUAUUCAUAAAAACAUCCAGAUAAGAAUUUAUUAUAAUUGAUAUUAUUGUAGAUGAUUUGAACAUAAUUGGAACUCCUAGGGAAUUGGAAAAGGUCACUUCUUGUUUGAAAGAAAUUUUUGAAAUGAAUGAUCUUGGUAAGAUGAAAUUCUAUUUGGGUCUUCAAAUUAAGCACACAAAAAUGAAGUUUUUGUACGUUAAUAUCUAGAAAAGGUGCUAAAAAGGUUUUAUAUGAAUAACUCACAUCCAUGAGUAACCCGAAGGUGGUAAGGCAAUUAGAUGCCAAAUAAGGACCAACUUUAGCAUCAUAAAAAACAUGAAAAUCUUCUUGUUCCCGAAGAACUAUAUCCUAGUGCUAUUGAUGCACUAAUAUAUCUUACUAUUAAUACAAGACCUGAUAAAUCUUUUGUCGUAAACUUAUUAGCAAGAUAUAGUUCUUGUCCAGCAAGAAGAUACUGGAAUAGAGUCAAACACAUUCUUUGAUAUCUUCGGGGUACAAUAGAUAUGAAUUUAUAGUAAUCAAAUUUAUAAAAUGCAAAGUUAAUUAGUUAUGCAGAUGCGGGAUAUUUAUCUGAUCCACACAAAGCUCGAUCCCAAACAUGUUAUUUAUUCACUUGUGGAGGUAACGUAAUUUCUUGUCAUUUUGUUAAACAAAAUUUAGUUGCUUCUUAUUCUAACCAUGCAGAGAUUAUAACAAUUUAUAAGGCAAGUCAUGAAUGUAUUUGGUUAAGAAAUUUAACUCAACACAUUUGCAAGAAUUGUGGUCUAACUUCUAACAGGGAUGUUCCAACCAUACUAUAUGAAGAUAAUACAACUUGUAUAGCUCCAUUCAAGGAAAGAUUUAUCAAAGGAGACAUAACCAAACAUAUAUCACCAAUGUUUUUUUUUCACUCAUGAUCUUCAAAAAGAACGUGCCAUCAACAUCUAGAAAAUUCAAUCCAGUAACAACUUUCCUGACUGGCUUACUAAAGCACUUCCUACAUCGAAAUUUGAAACGAUGGUACGAAACAUUGCUAUGCGGUGCUUCAAGAAAAUCAAGUGAUGUGCUAAUCAGGGGGAGUUGGAAACAUAUUGUACUCUUUUCCUUAGCUAUGUUUUUCCCACCGGGUUUUCUUAGCAAGGUUUUUAACGAGGCAAUUGUUUCCAAUAUCUAUUAUUAAUCAUGUACUCUUUUUCCUUAAUAAAGGGUUUUUCCCAUGAGGUUUUACCGAUUAAGGUUUUAACGAGGCAUGAUACAAUCGUCAUUCAAGGGGGAGUGUUAUGAAUUAUUAUUUAGUGAAUGACUAUUGGAUUCUCCAUAUUCCCUCAUUACUCUCCAUAAUUAGUGAGCAUUAUAGCAAACAUUAUUAUGAGUUUUAUGAGUGUAGUUAUGCACCACCAUAAUGUGCAUUCAUAUCAUACACGACCUUUCAUCUUCUUUGUCUAGUAUAAAUAGUGAAUAUUAUGUAUUAUAAAGUUUGAUGAUUUCAUCACAAAUAUUGGAAUAAAAGUUCUUUUUAUUCUCAUGUCUUUCUUUAUCUAUAAUGUAUCUUGUUAUUUGAUCAUAUUUUAUAAUAAUUUCAAUUAAUUAUUAUAUAUUUGUCAAAUCUUCAUUUAUAGUCUUUUAAGAAAAUGUACCUUUACUUUGUACAUGAAUAUAUCGAAUAACAUAUUUUGUUAUGUAUAUAAUGUCUUAUUAUGAUUUCUCAAUAUUUUUUUGUGUAUACGACGAGUAUUAUAGUUUAUGAUUCGUCGAAUAACUUAUAUCUUCGUAUCAAAAUACUUAUAAUCUUGUGAUUUUUCUUAAUAUUAAUUACUAUAUCACAACAAGGUAUAAUUAUAUCAUUUAUAGCAUUUUACUAAUACUUAUAUAAUUUAUUAAUGCUUUAUACCUUUUAGAUUGUUAUUUUCAUAAAAUCUUAACUAAUAAUAAAUUAUGAUGUUAUUUUAUGUAUAAAACUUGAAAAUCAUCAAAGCUUUAAAUAGACACUCAUGUAUUCUCCCCCCAAAAUGAAAAAUGUAAAAGAGGGGCCGUAGAAACUCACAUUCGAUGCGUGAUCUUGAUAUAGGCUUGCUUCGUGAAUCUUGUCGGGAAUAACCACAAAGUAACCAUUCUUGGGCUUUAAAACAUUUAUGGGUUUGUUUUGUAAAAUAUCAAACUCAAAGAAUUUCUUUUUGUAAUGAAAUAAACCAAAAGGGACUAUUUUUGAUCUUUUAAAACAGCAUAAGGACCAUUUUGUAAAGACUAAGUCCAAUAGGAUUUGCCUUGAAAGGAUUUAUGACAAAGGGGUUAGUUUUAAUUUGAAGUUAUAAACGAAGGGGCUGAUUUCGCCACAUUCUACAAUUAUACAAAGGGACGUGUCUUCUUUUCUUUUGUGCGUCUGAUUAGAACGAACGGAACCAAGCAGCGACGAGGGUUAGCCACCCAGCUCCGACGCCCUACUGCAAUCCUUCUCUCAUCGUCGGCGACAGCAACCAAGGGGAAGAAGAACGGAUCGAAGGCAGGUCGGAGAAGAGGAACUCGAUUGAAAUCAGGAAACCAAGGGGCACCGGUGGUUUAGAAAACGCGAUGGGGGUGGUUCGGUGGUGGAUUUCAAUCGCAGGGAGGAGGGAAGAAGAAGUCCGUCAAAAACGACGAUUCAUCCCUGGGUCUUCGUGAUUCCGUUGCCAACAGCAACAACUCGGAAAAGAAAUCAGAACAACAAGCAACAACGAUCGGGUUUGGGGUGUUCGGAUGGAAUCGGUGAACAGAACAGCAACAAUCGACAUCCAUGGGCGGGGUUUAAUGGCUCCGAUUGGCAGAAGAAGAAGGAAGAAGACGGUGGGUUUGGAUGGUGCUUCAUCGGCCAGUGGGGGCUGCAAUCGGCAGCUCCCUCAUGUUUUCUUCUUUCUGAACCAAUGGUACAAUCACAGAGGGAAUACAAAAACAUUCAGGGGUGUUUGGAUUGUUUCAACCAACAGGUUAAGGAAGAACACAAAAACUUCUUCUUCUUUGAUUGUUUAGAUAGGAACUAAUGAAAGAUUGGAUAUAUAGGGUUUGUUUUGAUUAAUAGGGAAUGAGUAAGAAAAGAACCAAAAGAAGAGGUUGAUGGCCUCUUGUUGUUUUCUUGGCAGCCACCCACGAUCAAAGAAGAAAAGAAAGAAGAAGAUGAAGAACCUUCUUAUGUGGGUUUGUGGUUUUCAUAGUUUGAAGAGUUUACAAGACUACAAGAGUCUUGCUUUUGAGUGUGUUUUUGUAUAACACAAUUGUGUAUAGUUUUGGGUUAGAUGAAGUGUAUAAGAGAAAUACUUCAUUUAUUGUUGUACUUUUAGAGAGCCUUAGAAGCAAACUACUUUACAUGUAUUUAUGUAUGUAUUAACAUGUAUUUUCUAUAUGUAUAAACAUGUAUUGAGUGAUGUGAUAGAAAAUAUAAAUAUAGAUUCUAUAGUUAUAUUGUUAAAAGUUUAAAUUCAAUUAUGUAUGAUUCAACGUGUCAAAAGUACAAUGUCAUAUUUG